rnacentral:rRNA from 1 species
GACGUAGGGCGCGAGCGUUGUCCGGAUUUAUUGGGCGUAAAGAGCUCGUAGGCGGUCUGUCGCGUCGGCUGUGAAAACCUGGGGCUCAACCCCGGGCCUGCAGCCGAUACGGGCAGACUAGAAUUCGGUAGGGGAGACUGGAAUUCCUGGUGUAGCGGUGAAAUGCGCAGAUAUCAGGAGGAACACCGGUGGCGAAGGCGGGUCUCUGGGCCGAUAUUGACGCUGAGGAGCGAAAGCGUGGGGAGCGAACAGG